AUACCUACUUGGGCGCUGACGUUUCUGCAGAGCUUCUUGUAGAUUUGAUCAAUGGAGACGGAGACGUGCUCAAAACACUGGCUGAAGAGCCAGAACUUUCUUCCGUUCUUCUUCAAGCUGAGCUUGGACCUUCUCCGUGUUGGCAUUCUGAGUGACAAAUACGUCCUUAAGUUGCUGCCGCUUCGCCAUGAGUUCAUCCACAAUUUGCAGACAAGUUUCUUCAGCCUGAACGAAGAUGAUUUGCAUUGUAGACUUAAUUAUCUUUUACGUUAAUAAGGUCAACAGAUCAGCUCAUCGUCAAUAAAGCAAAGCAGUGAUUGUGUGUGCUGCUUGAACUUCUA